rnacentral:lncRNA from 1 species
GCAAGUGGAUUUGAUGUGUCUAACUAAAUCUAACCCCUAUAAUCAUCCCUUGAAGGGGUUAGUUUUUUAGGUGGGUUAGAUGCAUCUAACCCUAUGCUAACCCUCAUGUUUGGAUGCUUUAGGGAUAUUUCACCUUCAAAUAGCCAUUCUAACCCAGGGAUCCAAACAGGGCCAUUGUCUCCUAGUUAGCUUAUGAUGGUGGCUUGUGUCUCUAGCCGUUUUAUGGAUAGGAGUUGGAUCCCAAAACCUUUUCAUUUCUCGAGUUCGUUUAGUUUAGGAAAUUUCCAAAAACUUCUCACCAAGCAAAUAGCAAAAAAAAAUAAAAAACAUCAGCACCUGCACAGGCUAGGCUUUGAACCCAACACCUCAAGUUGUAUGGAUUGGUGCACUAACCACUUCACCAAAUGAGUGUUGUCAUUAAACUUGGACCUGCUACUUUAUUUUGAAAGGUCCCUUCGACAGGAUAUAUAAAAAAAGAAUGAAAUAUUUUUAGCGUUAAUUUAGGAGCGAGGUGAAACGACAUCUGUUGAAAAAUAAUUUUCAAGGCCACCACUGGUACGCACGUCUUUGCGCCGCCAAUUGAAGCAACCUCAUCGUCGAUAUGGAUCAAUAAAGCUAAUUUUGAAGGUGUACCUCAGCAUCAAUGUACAUCUCUACGCCACCACUAAUAUGUACGUUGUCUCCAUCUCUCAUAUGCCCUAGUUCAUGCUAGAUCAUGAUCGGUCUUGGGUG